rnacentral:rRNA from 1 species
UCAGUAAUAUGGGCGAGAAAUGACGGUACCCUAAGAGGAAGCCCCGGCUAACUACGUGCCAGCAGCCGCGGUAAAACGUAGGGGGCGAGCGUUGUCCGGAAUUACUGGGCGUAAAGAGCGCGUAGGCGGUUCUUUAAGUCAGGUGUGAAAGAGCGGGGCUCAACUUCGGGGUUGCGCUUGAAACUGGAGUUCUUGAGGGCAGGAGAGGAAAGCAGAAUUCCCGGUGUAGCGGUGAAAUGCGUAGAAAUCAGGAGGAACACCAGUGGCGAAGGCGGCUUUCUGGACCGAUCCUGACGCUGAGGUGCGAAAGCGUGGGUAGCAAACAGGAUUAGAUACCCCGGUAGUCCUCGCCGUAAACGAUGGAUACUAGGUGUAGGAGGUAUCGACCCCUGUUGGGGGGUAAA